GAAAUGCGAUAAGUAAUGUGAAUUGCAGAAUUUUGUGAAUCAUCGAAUCUUUGAACGCACAUUGCGCCUUUUGGUAUUCCGAAGGGCACGCCUGUUCGAGCGCCGUUUAACAUCUAAGUCUUUCGACUUGCGUUGACGUUCGGGUCGUCUGCACGACCGCGUCCAAACACCGUCUAGCGUCUCCACUGAGUGACUACGCAACAACUUGCAAGUCUCGCAGAACGGCGACUGCUGAUCAACGAGUUUGGCCUCGAAUCAGGUGAGGUUACCCGCUGAACUUAA
rnacentral:misc_RNA from 1 species